AGUGAACGCUGGCGGUAGGCCUAACACAUGCAAGUCGAACGGCAGCACAGUAAGAGCUUGCUCUUACGGGUGGCGAGUGGCGGACGGGUGAGGAAUACAUCGGAAUCUACUUUUUCGUGGGGGAUAACGUAGGGAAACUUACGCUAAUACCGCAUACGACCUACGGGUGAAAGCAGGGGAUCUUCGGACCUUGCGCGAUUGAAUGAGCCGAUGUCGGAUUAGCUAGUUGGCGGGGUAAAGGCCCACCAAGGCGACGAUCCGUAGCUGGUCUGAGAGGAUGACAGGCAACAUUGAACUGGAGCACGGUCCAGACUCCUACGGGGGGGCGGAGUGGGGAAUAUUUGGCAAUGGGCGGCAGCCUUGUCCAACCCAAACGGGUUGGUUGAAGAAGGCUUUCGGGUGUUAAAGCCUUUUGGUUGGGAAAAAAAGCCACAAGGUAAAACCCCGCUGUUCUGACGGUACCCAAAGAAUAAGCACCGGCUAACUUCGUG
rnacentral:rRNA from 1 species